AGACCUUCUCAAGUUCUUGAUUUUUUGUUCACUCAGCCUAGGCUAGAAGAGGUGCCUGGGUCUCCUGGUCUUGACUUAUUUUUUGCUUUUUUUGGAAAAAUUUCUUUUUGGUAGAGAUGGAGUCUCUCUAUAUUGCCCAGGUUGGUCUUGAACUCCCGGGCUCAAGCAAUCCUUCAGCAAUGCUCUGCCCUACCCCAUUUAAUAUGGAUGUUAUAAGGCCAAAAACUCAAGACAAGUACAGCCCGGAAGAGGCAAAACAGAAAAGAUAACAAAAAGGCAGCAUGUGGGCUGCAGUGAUCCAAACACCCCAGGAGUCUGUCUCAGUGUACAGCAGCAGGCAGCCUCCCGGCUCCUCUGAGUGACCCCAGAGACCCUUGGAGUGUUCCCAGCAAGAGGCCUAAGCAGGCCCUGUUUGACCAUCCCUCCUUAUGGUUCCUGCAUAUCUGGAAGGAAGAGCUGAGUCCCUGGCUAUACCCUGCCAUAGCCUGCUUUCUCCUAGAAAUCCACUAAUUUUCUGUCCUGUGCAGGUGGGGCCAAAGCCCCUAAGACAAGAAGUCCUUAAGAUAGGAAUGCCCCUGCUUUGAUACCUCUGAGCCCAGAGA
rnacentral:lncRNA from 1 species